rnacentral:rRNA from 1 species
AAGCAGAGGACAGUGGCGGACGGGUGAGUAACGCGUGAGGAACCUGCCUUUCAGAGGGGGACAACAGUUGGAAACGGCUGCUAAUACCGCAUAACACAUUUGGGUGGCAUCACCUGGAUGUCAAAGGAGCAAUCCGCUGAGAGAUGGGCUCACGUCUGAUUAGCUAGUUGGUGAGGUAACGGCUCACCAAGGCGACGAUCAGUAGCCGGUCUGAGAGGAUGAACGGCCACAUUGGGACUGAGAUACGGCCCAGACUCC